AUGAUAUAACUGCUCUAAUGUUAAAUCAAUGGCUACGGAUUUCACAGAUUUCAUCGCUUUCUUUUCUCCAACCCGAUUAUCUCAAACUUCAAUGUUCCUUGGCACCAAUAUCAUCCAAAGUAUCUUUAUUCGUCGAUUGAACAGAAGGCUUCAUAUCCAAUUUCUCGAAUUUUCUGAGAGAACGCGUGAUGGAGGAGCAACGGAAAUUGGCCUUGACUCUUUCAUUUUAAAAGUUUUUUAAACCAUUUAUCUUCUUGCCGUGUAUUACAGUGAGGAAUGGAUAUACUCCUUGUCUAUAACAGACAUGAGGAACUGUAUGAAGAAUAUCGAGCAACGCCCCUCAGGCUCAGACACUGUAACAAAAUAAUGGUUGGAAACAAGGCUGACAUGGACGAAAGGAAAAGGGAUGUAUACAGUUGCAAUGUUGAAUGCUUACUUUCUUGAUUUUUAGUUUGUAGUAUACUGAUGCAUGAUCUUCUUUUUCAUGCUGUCCCAACAGCGAAGGUCCAAGCUUUAGCUGAGGAGUAUGGAAUGAAAUUCUUUAAGACAUUGAGCUAAAUAAAAAACAUAAUAUCUGUCCUGUUUUCCAUUAAUGUGUUCUUUAAAUUACUGAUGUAAUUAUAAUUAGCGCAGGGUGCAAACACAUACAAAGGAGGAGGUGUGAAUUGCAGGAGGUUGAUACUCGCUCUUCUAAUUAUCUUACCGACAUUAUCACUAAGUACAACAUAUAUAUGUACUCCUCUUGUAGUUUUGCAGCCUCAGGUAUCACGAUCCGAAAUCAAGAUGAUGUCUCAUACUCAGUCUUCUACAACCGAAAAAGGCUGUAGUCGAUUAGUAACUUUUAACAAAGACGGGGAUGCAUAGCUUUGAAAUGAUACACUGAAAGAUGUUUACUUUGUCUCAUUGGACUGUAUUUGUUGUGACUUUGGUCAAAUUGGACAGAGACGCAAAUGUAUUUUCCGAGGAUCUGUUUGGAUUAAUAUGUGAAAGGUUUCUUAUUCU